CGCAAGCCUGAUGCAGCCAUGCCGCGUGUAUGAAGAAGGCUUCGGGUUGUAAAGUACUUUCAGCAGUGAGGAAGGUGGAGUAUGUUAAUAGCAUAUCAUUUGACGUUAGCUGCAGAAGAAGCACCGGCUAACUCCGUGCCAGCAGCCGCGGUAAUACGGAGGGUGCGAGCGUUAAUCGGAAUUACUGGGCGUAAAAGCGCAUGCAGGUGGUUUGUUAAGUCAGAUGUGAAAGCCCGGGGCUCAACCUCGGAAAUUGCAUUUUGAAAACUGGCAAACUAGAGUACUGUAGAGGGGGUAGAAUUUCAGGUGUAGCGGUGAAAUGCGUAGAGAUCUGAAGGAAUACCGGUGGCGAAGGCGGCCCCCUGGACAGAUACUGACACUCAGAUGCGAAAGCGUGGGGAGCAAACAGGAUUAGAUACCCUGGUAG
rnacentral:rRNA from 1 species